rnacentral:rRNA from 1 species
AGGACGAACGCUGGCGGCGUGCUUAACACAUGCAAGUCGAACGAUGAAGCCUAGCUUGCUAGGUGGAUUAGUGGCGAACGGGUGAGUAAUACGUGAGUGACCUACCUUUGACUCUGGGAUAAGCCUGGGAAACUGGGUCUAAUACCGGAUACGACCAAUCUCCGCAUGGGGUGUUGGUGGAAAGCGUUAUGGAGUGGUUUUAGAUGGGCUCACGGCCUACCAGCUUGUUGGUGAGGUAAUGGCUUACCAAGGCGACGACGGGUAGCCGGCCUGAGAGGGUGACCGGCCACACUGGGACUGAGACACGGCCCAGACUCCUACGGGAGGCAGCAGUGGGGAAUAUUGCACAAGUGGGCGCAAGCCUGAUGCAGCGACGCCGCGUGAGGGAUGGACGGUCCCGUUACGGGUUCGUUAAACCUCGUUGUUAGCAUACGGAAGAAAGACGAAAGUGGAACGGUAGGUAGCGAAGGAAGGAAAGCCGACCGGUAC